rnacentral:rRNA from 1 species
GAUGAACGCUGGCGGCGUGCUUAACACAUGCAAGUCGAACGAUGAAGCCCAGCUUGCUGGGUGGAUUAGUGGCGAACGGGUGAGUAACACGUGAGUAACCUGCCCUUAACUCUGGGAUAAGCCUGGGAAACUGGGUCUAAUACCGGAUAGGAGCGUCCACCGCAUGGUGGGUGUUGGAAAGAUUUAUCGGUUUUGGAUGGACUCGCGGCCUAUCAGCUUGUUGGUGAGGUAAUGGCUCACCAAGGCGACGACGGGUAGCCGGCCUGAGAGGGUGACCGGCCACACUGGGACGGAGACACGGCCCAGACUCCUACGGGAGGCAGCAGUGGGGAAUAUUGCACAAUGGGCGCAAGCCUGAUGCAGCGACGCCGCGUGAGGAUGACGGCCUUCGGGUUGUAAACCUCUUUCAGUAGGGAAGAAGCGAAAGUGACGGUACCUGCAGAAGAAGCACCGGCUAACUACGUG